GAAUGAGAAGAUUCAGUAUCCUACCAUUUGGUCGACCAUUACAUUAUAUUAUGUGAUAAUUUUUAAUAUCUUGUAUAUUAAUAUUACACUAAUUUGUUUUGAGAUUUGGCUAUGGAGAUAUGCACUUCUUCUCUAGUAGGACGUUGCAACCCAUUGGAUGUUAAUCUAAGGUCCCCUAUGGUAGCCUAUUUUAUAUAUAUUUCGGUAUAUGUGAUUUAGACCUUGGGUGUUUGCCUGAUUAACUUGUUCGAUGGUAUGUCUUAAUAAUAUGGGGUCGCCUAUAUGGCAUUUAACUUUUUUUCAAGUGUGUAUGGAUUUAUUUCGGCUAUCAGACCUAGUUCUGGUACUGAAACCAUUACCACUGUUUGAAAAUUAUGUUGUAAUUAAAUUGACCACCGUUAUAUAGGUUAGCAACGCUUUU
rnacentral:rRNA from 1 species